CAUAAACUGUAACUUGAAACACCUAUAUAUGUGUAAAACAUAUUUAUAAAACACGCCAAAGUGACCAAGUUUCUGACAUGUUGCAAGACCGACAUGUUGCAUCACCGAGCUUGGCUUUUCAUAUGUUACUAUUUGAGAACUUUUACUUUAAGUUAGUCACUUGGAGGUCCAUUUGCUUGAAAAAAGAAGACCACAGUGCCGACCAAAGGAGCCCCACUUACCAGUAAAAGCCUUUUUGUGCAUUUGUACUUAGGAUUUGUCUUGCCAAAAUGUG